rnacentral:rRNA from 1 species
AGGGCACACAAAGGAUGCCUAGGUAGUAAGAGCCGAUGAAGGACGUGGUAAGCUGCGAUAAGCCUAGAUAAGUUGCAAUCGAACGUAAGAGUCUAGGAUUUCCGAAUGGAGCAAUCUAUUAAGAUGGAGUCUUAAUACGAAAGAGGGAACCGCGUGAACUGAAACAUCUAAGUAACGCGAGGAAAAGAAAGUAAAAACGAUACCCAAAGUAGCGGCGAGCGAAAUGGGUCAAGCCUAAACCUUAAAUAUGUCAAGGAUACAGCCGUUGUAUUUAAGGGGUUGAGGGACAGAGUGAUGAAGAACUGUAAGAUAUUCAAUAUAGUGUAUUGAUGAAUUAGAAUUGUCUGGAAAGGUGAACCGUAGAAGGUGAAAGUCCUGUAUAAGUAAAUCCUUACACAUAUAACUUUGCUCCCAAGUAACAUGGAACACGAGGAAUUCUGUGUGAAUCUGUGAGGACCAUAUCUCAUAAGGCUAAAUACUCUUACUAACCGAUAGCGCAUAGUACCGUGAGGGAAAGGUGAAAAGAACCCCUGGAGGGGAGUGAAAUAGAACCUGAAAUUGUGUGCUUACAAGCGGUCAGAGCCCAUUUGGGUGAUGGCGUGCCUUUUGGAGAAUGAUCCUGCGAGUUACGUUAAACGGCGAGGUUAAGUAUAACGGAGCCGAAGGGAAACCAAGUCUUAAUAGGGCGAUUUAGUCGUUUGGCGUAGACGCGAAACCUGGUGAUCUAAACCUGUCCAGGAUGAAGCUGUGGUAAGACACAGUGGAGGUCCUAACCCACCGCCGUUGAAAAGUUGGGGGAUGAGGUAGGUUUAGGGGUGAAAAGCCAAUCGAACCAGGAGAUAGCUCGUUCUCUCCGAAAUGCAUCUAGGUGCAGCCUUGAGUGUUCAAUUAUGGGGGUAGAGCACUGAAUGAUCUAGGGGGCAUAUUGCUUACUGAAAUCAAUCAAACUCCGAAUACCAUAAUUUAUAGCUCAGGAGUGAGACUAUGGGAGUUAACUUCCAUUGUCAAAAGGGAAACAACCCAGACCACCAGCUAAGGUCCCUAAUUAUAACUAAGUGGGAAAGGAGGUGGAGAUUCACAAACAACUAGGAGGUUGGCUUAGAAGCAGCCAUACCUUUAAAGAGUGCGUAAUAGCUCACUAGUCGAGAGUCUCUGCGCCGACAAUGUAACGGGGCUAAGUUAUAAACCGAAGCUGUGGAAUCCUUAUGGAUUGGUAGGAGAGCGUUCUGUAGGCUGUUGAAGAAGAAGGGUAACCAACUUUGGAGGUAUCAGAAGUGAGAAUGCAGGAAUAAGUAGCGAGAAAGGGGGCGAGAAUCCCCCUCGCCGGAAGACCAAGGUUUUCAGGGUAAAGCUUGUCUUCCCUGAGUAAGCCGGGACCUAAGCCCAGGCUAUAAUGCGUAGGCGAAUGGAAAACAGAUUAAUAUUUCUGUGCCAGUCAUAUAUUGUGAUGGAGGGACGCAGAAGGGUAUGCGCGCGGACGAACGGAAGUGUCCGUAGAAGUAUGUAGGAUGACUUGAUAGGAAAAUCCAUUGAGUUAUAUCUGAGGUAUGAUAUACAGUCGUAAGAUGAAUGCGCAAAUCCCACGCUGCCAAGAAAAGCUUCUAACGUUAAUAUAUGACUGCCCGUACUGUAAACCGACACAGGUGGUCAGGAUGAGAAAUCUAAGGCGGACAGGCUAACUCUCGUUAAGGAACUCUGCAAAAUAACCUCGUAACUUCGGGAGAAGAGGAGCCCUUGGGUGUUAGUAUCCAUGCGAUACAAAGCGCUCGAGGGUCGCAGUGAAGAGGCUCAAGCAACUGUUUAACAAAAACACAGGUCUAUGCUAAGCUGGAAGGCGAUGUAUAUGGGCUGACACCUGCCCAGUGCUGGAAGGUUAAGAGGAGGAGUGAGAGCUCCGAAUUGAAGCCCCAGUGAACGGCGGCCGUAACUAUAACGGUCCUAAGGUAGCGAAAUUCCUUGUCGGGUAAGUUCCGACCUGCACGAAUGGUGUAAUGAUUUGAGCGCUGUCUUGACGGGAGGCCUGGUGAAAUUGUAUUACCGGUGAAGAUACCGGUUACCUACAGUAGGACGGAAAGACCCCAUGGAGCUUUACUGUAGCUUGGUAUUGGGUUUUGGCAUUGCAUGUAUAGGAUAGUUGGGAGACUAUGAUGAUAUGGCGCUAGCUGUAUCGGAGUCAUCGGUGGAAUACCAACCAUUCAAUGCUGAAAUUCUAAUCUGUGGUUUGUAGCCACGGAGACAGUGCUAGGUGGGCAGUUUGACUGGGGCGGUCGCCUCCGAAAGAGUAACGGAGGCGUUCAAAGGUUCUCUCAGGUUGGAUGGAAAUCAACCAUAGAGUGCAAUGGCAUAAGAGAGCUUGACUGCAAGACUGACGGGUCGAGCAGAUGCGAAAGCAGGACAUAGUGAUCCGGCGAUUCCGAAUGGAAGGGUCGUCGCUCAACGGAUAAAAGCUACCCUGGGGAUAACAGGCUGAUCCUACCCGAGAGUCCAUAUCGACGGUAGGGUUUGGCACCUCGAUGUCGGCUCAUCGCAUCCUGGGGCUGGAGAAGGUCCCAAGGGUUGGGCUGUUCGCCCAUUAAAGCGGUACGUGAGCUGGGUUCAGAACGUCGUGAGACAGUUCGGUCCCUAUCCACUGUAGGCGUUAGAAUAUUGAGAAGACCUGUCCUUAGUACGAGAGGACCGGGAUGGACAAACCUCUGAUGUACCAGUUGUCACGCCAGUGGCACAGCUGGGUAGUCACGUUUGGAAUAGAUAACCGCUGAAAGCAUCUAAGCGGGAAACUAACUUCAAGAUAAGUAUUCUUUAAGAUACCUUCGAGCCUAGGAGGUUGAUAGGUUGGGGGUGUAAGUACAGCAAUGUAUUUAGCUGACCAAUACUAAUUAUCGAAGUUUUAAUC